rnacentral:misc_RNA from 1 species
AACGCACAUUGCGCCUCUCUUUACCGGGAGGCAUGCCUGUCUGAGCGUCAUUUAAACCAAAUGAACAUUUAUUUAUUUAUUUGUUCGUAUUGGGUUUCACCUUUGGGUGUUACCUUAAAGUAAUGGGUCUAAAUUAGCGGACGAGAUCUUUCAAGGACUAACCGUGAAUUUAGACCAGAUAAUUUCUCUGAUUUUGACCUCAGAUCAGGUAGGGACACCGCCUGAACUUAA